rnacentral:rRNA from 1 species
AGAGUUUGAUCCUGGCUCUGAAUGAACGCUAGUAGAAUGCUUAACACAUGCAAGUUUUACGCCAUGUUAUUAAUAAAUUAUGGUGUAGCAAACGGGUGAGUAAUGAAUAAUAAUUGACCAUUAAGUAUGGUUUAAUGUUUAUAGUAGUUUUUUUAGUGUAUUCUACUAUUAUUUAUAAAUACCAUAUAACUAUAUAUCUAUUUUAGAUAUAUUAGUACAAAGAUAAUAUCGCUUAAUGACAAUUAUGUUUUAAGAUUAGGUUGUUGGUGAGGUCAGAGCUUACCAAGCCGAUGAUCUUUAGUUGGAUUGAGAGAUCGACCAGCCACAUUGGGACUGAGACAAGGCCCAAGCUUUUUUAAAGCCAGCAGUGAGGAAUAUUGGACAAUGAACGAAAGUUUGAUCCAGCAAUUCUACAUGAGUGAUGAAGGCUAAAUUUAGUCGUAAAACUCUAUAGUAUAGGAGGAUGAUGACGUUACUAUACUAAAAGUCCCAGCAAAUUUCGUGCCAGCAGCUGCGGUUAUACGAGAGGGGCAAGCGUUAUUCGUCUUUACUGGGCGUAAAAAGUUUUUCAGGUGAUUUUUUAAGUUGAAUAUUUAAAUCUAAAGCUCAACUUUAGUCAAUUAUCAAUACUAAAAAAUUUGAGUAUAACAGAAGAUAACAGAAUUUCUAGUUCAGGUUUAAAAUCCGAUUCAGAUUAGAAAGAAUAACUAUAGGCGAAGGCAGUUAUCUAGGUUAAUACUGACACUCAAAAACGAAGGCAUGGGUAGCGAAAAGGAUUUGGUACCCUUAUAGUCCAUGCAGUAAACUAUGAAUGUUAAAUAUUGGAUUUAUUUCAAUAUUAAAGCUUACGCGUUAAACAUUCUGCCUGGUUAGUACGACCGCAAGGUUGAAAAUCAAAGGAAUUGGCGGGACUAGUUUUAGCGGUGGAGCAUGUGGUUUAAUCUGAUAGUCCGCGUAAAACCUUACCAGUUUUGACAAGAAUUAGGUGUUGCAUGGUCGUCGUCAGCCCGUGUCGUGAGAUUUUUAGUUAACUCUUUUAACGGGCGAAACCCUUUUAGCUUAUUAUUUUAUAUAUUUAUUAAAUUUAUUGUUUAAUAGGUAUUAUUUUUUAAUUAUUGUAAGCUAGACUACUUAUAUAAAUAAGGGGAAGUAAAGGAUGACGUCAGAUCGUUAUGACCCGUAUAAACUGGGCUACACAUGUGCUACAAUGAUAAUUACAAUGGGAUGCAAUGAUGUAAAUCGGAGCAAAUCCUUAAAAAUUAUUUUAGUACGGAUUAUAGAUUGCAAUUUAUCUAUAUGAAGGUGGAAUCGCUAGUAAUCGCGAAUCAGCACGUCGCGGUGAAUUUUUAUCUAGUCUUGUACACACUGCCCGUCAUAUUCGGGGAGAAUGUAAGGUUUGAAGUAUAUUAAGUUAUUAUUUUGUUUAUUUUAUAAAUAAAUGUUAUAAUGGUUUAAUAUACAAUUUCCGAAUGUUCAACACGAAUAAAGUCGUAACAAGGUAGCCGUACGGGAACGUGCGGCUG